rnacentral:rRNA from 1 species
UGGGGAAUAUUGGGCAAUGGAGGCAACUCUGACCCAGCAACGCCGCGUGAGGGAAGAAGGUUUUCGGAUUGUAAACCUCUGUCCUUGGGGACGAAGAAAGUGACGGUACCCAAGGAGGAAGCCCCGGCUAACUACGUGCCAGCAGCCGCGGUAAUACGUAGGGGGCAAGCGUUGUCCGGAAUUACUGGGCGUAAAGGGUGCGUAGGCGGUUAUUUAAGUCAGAUGUGAAAUCCCCGGGCUUAACUCGGGUGGUGCAUUUGAAACUGGGUAACUAGAGUGCAGGAGAGGGAAGCGGAAUUCCUAGUGUAGCGGUGAAAUGCGUAGAUAUUAGGAGGAACACCAGUGGCGAAGGCGGCUUUCUGGACUGUAACUGACGCUGAGGCACGAAAGCGUGGGGAGCAAACAG